CAACCAGCUCAGUACUCCCUGAAGGGCACUUUGAAAGAAAGUUCAAUCAAUGGAAGGGUCAAAUGUUUUCUUUUUCAAACGUCCAUUUUGCAUGUAAUGGCUGCUCUGUGCAGACUUUACAGGGUGUUCUUCUCUUGUUCCCAAGAUCUAGGGUCCUUCUGCGCAAAUGCAUGUACCAUGGGUAAGAAAUUACUUCAACUGAGUUUAUUGACAUUUCUUAGAGCAUAUGAGUUCGAAGAAAAUUAUUACAGAGUCUGACCUGACCCUCUGAUACUUCUUGUGGAUGGAACAGAAAACCCUAAAGCAGCGAAAAAAUAGGAGCUUGUCCUUGUUUGAUGGGAGGAACAUAUCAUCAACUAUGAAAUAAAGUUCCCUCUGAGUUGGAAUGGCAAAUUGGAAGGGACAGAGAGAUUAGCUUCCCCUUUAAGAAUCAGUUCUCCAGAAUAACUCCAACACAGCCUCUAGUAGUGAGUCAGGAUUUGGCAGUGGACAUGGCCUGUAAAACACCCAGCACAGAGCCUGGCUUACCGUAGCACGUAGCACUCGUUUUUGGUGUUACACAGCACAUCAAUAAUCAUCUUUGUAUAUAUAUCGUUGUGUAUAUAUACAAGUAGAUCUACAGUAUAAAUUCUUGGAGCUGGGGACUGCUGAAUCAAAAGAUAUAUGGAUUCUAGAAGCUGAUAUAUAUUGCCAUGUGUCUCAUCAAACUGGUUGCAGAAAAGAGGACCAGAAACUUUGAAGAAUACCUGAAACAUUGUUGAUGUGGAAGAAAAUAUGCUGUAUAUAUCCAGGUCCUGGUUUUGUGCCUGGCCCAUGAUAGCUAUUCAAGAAAUACUUGUGAAUGAACAAACUAAGAGUGGCCAAAUGUGAACCCAAGAGUCAAGGAAAGAAAGGAGUUUGAGUCUGUUGGAUGGUGCAAGUUGGAAGACGAAGAGGCUUCAGGGACAGAAGAAUGGGCCCUGACCAGGAGAGUGCCUCCUUCCUGUAGCAGCUAUAAAAAGGCAAGGUCAUCUGAACUCACUGUUGGCAAUGUGCCUUGAGUCACACUGUAGUCAUUGCUCAAGCAUCUGAAAGGGUCCAAAGUGCAGACAUUAAAACAUAA